rnacentral:lncRNA from 1 species
UUCGUUACAGACCUCGGGAUAGUUUUGGACCUUAAGGCCCAAUGGGCUUCGAACGUCAAGCCCAUUGACUGAAGUUGUAUGACAAUUUAAUGAAUAAAGAUUCACAAAAGCCCAAAAGCCCAAAUCCCUAAUUUGGCCGGCCAUAUGUGUUGAAUUAGGGUUUUUUUGGUUCUUUAGGUCAUUUAUAGAAGUGACUAUAUAAAGAACUUUAUAGCCUAAAAUUCAAAAAGGGUUCUUUUGGAGAAAAUUGGUGAGAACAUGUCUCUCCUUUUUCUCUCUAGGAGGAAGGCCCCCUUGGAGGGUGUAUCUAGCCAUACUACUACUCCAAGGUCACUCAUUUCUUCUCCAAUCUCUCCUUGGUGAAGAGACUUAAAGGUUCUCAAUUUUGGGAACUUGGAGAAACCUAUUCUUCCAUCCAAAUCCAUAGAUUUAAGAUGCAAGGAAUGAAGGCCCUCUCUUUGGGUGAUUAGCCUUUGCUUAUGCAAAGAGGAAUCUACAAAGGUAUAAAUUUCAACUCACUUUGUUUUGAGUUGAUUCAUGGUUCACCAAUCUACUAGGCUUUGAAUUUCAUGGGUAAUGUUUUGUUUUUGAAUGCAUGCAAGCAUGAUUCCGCCUUUUAAUUGUUAAAUGCAUGUUAUAGAUGUUAUUCAAAUGAACAUGUUUUCACAAAAUCAUCCUUCAAGUGGUAUCAGAGUCUAGGUCUAGUAGUUGGUGAAUCCUUUUGGGUUUUGUGGUUCAUAGUUUGUGAUCUAAAAGUUGUAAUAUGUUACAAGCUUUAUUCUUGUUUCUUUGAAUGUAAAUUUUGUUAGAAAAUUUGCCAUCUCAAAUGUUGUAGAUGUAGUUCUUAUGAGCAUGAAUAUUGGAGCUAAAAUUUGGUGCCAUGUUUUUGGGAAUUUUCGGCCAAAUACAUAGGGUGAUUUUUUGGGUUCUUGUUUGACUUGUUAAAAGUGUUUUAAAGUGACUUUUGGAACCCCUAUGUACCCUAGUUUGGUUAUAUGUUAUUUCCCUAACGUUUGAAUGGUUUUGGAAUGUUUUUUGGGUGAAAAAUGUUCUGGAAAUUUUUUGAGUUUUUCAUGAAUGUUCUUCAUUGUUCUUGACAUUUUAGCCAAGAACAAAAAGUUUUGUGUUUUGAUUCCAAGUUUUGAUUUAUUUCAUAAAGCUUAUGUUUUAUGAUUUUCAAAUGUUUAAAUGUUUUAGAUAUUUGUUUAAAUGGUGUAAGAGAUAUUGGUGGGUGUGUAAGGAUUAAUUUCCUUUCACACACACCACUUGCACCACUUGAUUGCUUUAUGUCAAAACUCACAAAUCAACACACACAUCACUCCAUUUCUUCUUCCAAAACCGGCCACCCCCUAGUGGGGGUACUUUUGGGGUCUUUUAUGCAAUUACAUAA